rnacentral:other from 1 species
GCGGGGCUGCGAGGUUCGUCAGGAGAACAUUAUCCCCGGGGCCUUAUCGAUCUCAAAGGGAGCUGUCCCUGAUCGGACCCCUGGGUCCGGACACACGGCGCCCACCUACGCUGUAGGUUCCCGGGAUCGAUUUCCAACGGCCAUCGCGGCUCCGCG